rnacentral:lncRNA from 1 species
AAACAAAUGAGGCAACAAAGCAACCUCAAACCUAGAACAGAGCAGCAAACUCACAAAGCACUCAUCUUCAACAAUCAAAUCUUUAUAACCAACUCGCCAUCCGAUAGGGUAACUUAUGAACCCAUUUUGGCGCCAGUUGAUAAAGAACCCAGGACCUAAUAUACACAAACGCAAUACAACAACAGUACCACCCGACCAGGUACUAACUCUUGUAUCAGUCGCUGUUAUAGCAUUAAGUAACUCAAGCUAAUAGUUAGAACAGAACCAUGCUCAGGGUCCAUGGAUUCCAACGGCUACUUCAUAGGCAAGCCCUUUAAGUUUUCCCAAGCAAUUCAGCAUUAGGAAGCUUCCACAGUGAUCCUACGGUUUUACCUUAACUGGUUAUUCUAAUAGUUCAUUGUAUUAGUUCCAAUCUACGAGACCUGGCACUACAUAGAGCUCCCGCAGAAUUAGGAAACCAUUUCCACACAGAAUCAUGGUUCCCAGCAGUUAAACAUGUCAAUAAAAAUAGACAGGUAAACAUCACACCAACCUAAAUUAUCCAAAAACUGACACAAAAACACAUAACCCGGAAUAGGAUCAACAGUGAUAUCUUACCUUGAUGAGCUCAUUGGCUUCAAGAUUCGCUAUCAAAGAAGCGGCUACCUUCUCCGUGAUGCCCGAUUUCCCGACCAAUUGGGACUUGAGCUUCUUCCCCAAUCCCUGAGCGUACGAAGCUAGCUCUUUCUUCUCCCUAACAGUCAAGUUCAGCACUUUCCCUUCAUUAGAAGAACAGGAAUCAUCGCCUCCAUUUUCCACUAACUCGGAACUUAACCGCUCACCUUCUCCUCCUUCCUCGUCUUCGGAAUCAAGCUCGAUUUCGCAGCUUAAACCUUCGCCGCUUUCCUCUACUAAAUCUUCUUCCUCCUCUUCUACUUCUUCGGUUGUACGAGAGUGUGAAGAGAAAGCACGUUUGGAGAAGAAGAGAACAGCAGAAUGGGAUUGGAGAAGAGUACCGGAGGAGGCGGUUGUUGUGCGACUGGAACUAGGGUUUAGCCUGAAGUAGCUAUCGGCGUGACUGGCUUCUGCGGCGGAUGACCGAAUUGAUUGGGAUGAGGAGGAGGAAAAAACCGGAUGCCUGAGUGUCGAUCGGAGGAGUCGGCGGAGGAUGCUGAUGGUGACGGCUGACGAGGCAGAGACCGAGGAAGCCAUCGCCGCCAUUACUGUUUAUGGCGCAAAUCGGAUUAAGCUUUCAAGCAUUUCUUUAAAAUUUAUGUGUGAUUACUAAUUCCGCACUCUACAUUAGUAUUUCUCGCUGUUUUAAUCCUUUAAGAUAUUAGACUACACAUUUCAGUACACUGACAAUUCACAAUGUCUCAAAACAGUCAAACUUCAGGGGGCAUUUAUGAUUAAGAUACUAAACAAAUAUUUAUAGACAAUUUAGUCCCUGAAGGGAUUGAUUACCUAAAUCUAUCACAAAAUUUUAGAUUUUCAAUCCAGUGAUCACUGAACGAAAAAAAAUCCUAGAGUAGUGCCAUGAGUGUUAACCUAGUGAUCACCUCCGUCUACGGUAUCUAAUUUUCUGUUCAGUUAUAUAUAUCAAAUUUAUGUCAUUUUGAAGAUAUUUCGUCUCAAAAUCACACACAAAUCACUCAUUCAAACGGUCUAUUUCAAAAAUAGUAAAUUUCAUUCAAAUAUCUAAUUAUUUCAAAUCUCUUCUAUUUCAAAUCACAUACCCAAAUGACAACCCGCAAAAAUUAUCCAUAAAUUACCUAUUCAAACGAUCUAUUCCGAAAAUAAAAAAUUUCACUCAAAUUUCUCCUAUUUCAAAUCCCUAAUUAUUUCACCUACCUGAAUCAUACAAAAAUUUAGUUCAGUUGACGUUGUAAAAGCAAAUGCAUGUCGACGAUUAAUGUACUAGUCGACAGGGUAGCAGAUUAUUAUAAGAUACUGGCAUUUAUUUCCGUGAAUAAUUGACAAUCAAUGUGAAAAUAUAUUUGUGCAUGAAUGGUGAGACAACAAAUGACAAAUAAGGUUUACGUAACGGUAGGUUUACGUUAGCCUUGUGUAACAACAGUUGUUUUUUAGGUAAUAGGCAAAAUUAAGCAUGUUAUGUAAGAGUAAAGGCUAUUAUGCAAGACUUACAUAACGAUAGUUGUUCCUUACGUAACAAACAAAAUUAAGUUUGUUACGUAAGAGUAAAAACCUUUACAUAAGUCUUACGUAACGACACUUAUUUUAUAGAUAACUAACUCAAAGUUAAGUCACCUUAUUUAAAUUAAAACAAAUUAUCGUAGAAAAUAUCAUAAUAUUUUAAAAAAGUUACCAACUAUAAAAAACAAAUUACAUAUUAUCAAAUUAUAUACAAACAUGCACGUUCACGUCCGAUCCGGUUAAAAAAACUCAAACUUCUUGCACCCUAAUUAACACAAUAGACGAGACCAAGAUUUCUCUUGCACAUAAAACCCAAAAAAGCACUACUCCCAAGUAACGUCGGGUUCUGCAUGCAUGCAAAGUCACAAAAGCACAUCAGCCGGUGACCGUAGUACGCUUCCCGACGGUCCCCCGGUGAACGGAAGCCCGGUUGGAGCUGUCGCGCGGCGCGGAGAAACAAAAUGACUAUUAUUUGGCUAAGUAUUUUGCUUAACCUUUUUAAUAUUGUUGGAGUUAGCUGAUCCUAACUCUCUCUUUUUUUAAUUAUGUUGACAACAUUUUUAAUUUAUUGUAAAAGUGGUUUAUUAAUUAUCCACAUUAAUGCAAUUCAUCUUUAUUUUUAAAAAUGAUCCAUAUUGUAAUUUUAUCAUUACUAAUAAAAAUAAUAAUGUAAUUAUUACAAGACCAUCUCCAACCUAAUAGGCUAUGAAAUAGAUGGGUGUGGCAGACCCAUAAACAAAAGGACCUCUUUGCUAUGCUCUUACUUUUAAAAGGAAAAAAGUGCCAUAAAUAUAUAAAAAAAUAUGACUGAGUUAUUUGUUAAUUUGGCCAGUUAGCUAUAUAUUUGCCUGGUCUANNNNNNNNNNNNNNNNNNNNNNNNNNNNNNNNNNNNNNNNNNNNNNNNNNNNNNNNNNNNNNNNNNNNNNNNNNNNNNNNNNNNNNNNNNNNNNNNNNNNNNNNNNNNNNNNNNNNNNNNNNNNNNNNNNNNNNNNNNNNNNNNNNNNNNNNNNNNNNNNNNNNNNNNNNNNNNNNNNNNNNNNNNNNNNNNNNNNNNNNNNNNNNNNNNNNNNNNNNNNNNNNNNNNNNNNNNNNAUUUAGGUUAUUUUAGAUUAAAUAAUUAUGCUAUACAGGGUCUGAUAAUGAUCAUUUGAGAUUAUUUUUGUUUCAUCUGGUCUACCUAAAUUCUUUCGGAUGACAUAGUGUCUACCAACAAAAAUCUAACAAUGCUAUAUACAAUAGUGGUGAAUUUUUCAGUAUAUAUUUGGCAUAUCGAAACUUUCGGUGUGCCAAAUUUUUUUUUGGUAAUGUAAAUCCAUCACCAACGUCCAUUUUCAUAAUUAUUCAAAUAUUAAAUUUCUAUUUCACAUUUUAUUAACAUAAUCGCUCCAUACAAACAUAUCUUUAAUCUUAUUUUCAUAAUUAUAACCCCAAGCGUUUAAGAUGUUAGAAAGCUUACGCGAAAACGACCGGCAAGUAGAAGAAAUCAUACGCUGCAUGAGCCAAGUCGCCCAGAUUCUCACCACUGCUAGAUUCCUCGUCGACGACAUUCCUUUUAAUAUUCCUCGUCGCCCAGAUACUUUUUAAAAUAUGAAAUCCUGCUAAAUACAGUUGAUACUUUUUAAAAUACGGUGAAAUUAAUAUAAUAUCUUAAAUUUUAUCUUACAUUAGUUUCGAACGAAGUACAUUACGAAAACUAACUUUAUUAUUUUCAUUCAAGUUUCAUUUCACAUUCUACUUUGCAAACAUAUAUAUAUCGCUAAAUAUUUAUGAAUGAUGAUGUUGAGAUUCGAAUAUGAGAACCUGCUAAACACAAUCGAUAUUUUUUAAAUCACAAUAUAUGACUACGAAGAUUGACAGUUUUUUAAUUUUGUUCUGUCGGAAUUAUUUGAAUUAGUUGAAGAUUUCAUAUGAUUUUCUUCCAAUUUAUAAUUGCAAUAUGACAAUGAAUGACGGUGACGUUCGUUUGGUUACCAUAUCGGCCAUAGAAACGUUGCAACAGCAACCAUGUUAUUGGACAUAGUUCUGCGGCAAAUAGUAAAAUAGUAUUUCUAAUCAGCAAGUAAUUGUUCAUUCCGAACGUCAGAUUUGAUAAAUAAAAAAAUAAUUUUAAAUUAAGGGUAAAUUUAUCAUUUUUUUUUUCUUAUAAAUAAUUAGUUUCUUAACAAGUAUUGGAUUUUAGGUUUUAAUUUUAGGAUAUUGAGUUUUCAAUUUUAAAUUUUGAAUUUUAAAUUUUGAAUUUUAAAUUUUGGGUGUAAUUUUUUUUUAAAUGAUAAAAUUGUCCAUGUGGGCAAUUUAUUUGCCGCCUAAUUUGGUAGCCAAGUUGAUGAGUGUAGGCCAAGUGUAUCUUUCCUGAUUUGGCCAUUUGCUAUAUACCGAACGGCGACGUUUCAUUUGUUUUUUUUUAUACCUCUGAUGACACAUUUAAUUAGCGGUUUCUAAUUAAUUACCCGCCUAAAAAUUAUUCAGCUGAAAUUGAUUUCAACUGGGUGCCAUUUGAAAUGUAUAAUGCGAAGGCACAAUCGUUUCGCAAGUGGAGGUGUUGGACCGAGCUAGGGUUAACUUGGUGAGAGUUGGUGCAACAUUGAUGGCACCUUUCCAGCCAUUUCAAACCUUUUCCGUAGAACUCAUGUGCCCUCGUCUUGUGGUUUCUGACUUAUAAAUAUGUUGCGUGCAAAUUUUUAAGUGGUUUUGCUUUUAAGAAUUCGACUGUGGGCGGUCUCAUCUCCGAAAAUGAUAUAUUUCUUUCAACUCAAGGUUGGUCGAUAUUUAAUUUUGUUUCCUUUCUAAAAGGUGCUAUUCUAGUUUAGUUUAUAAUAUCUUGCUCUCUAUUAUUGAUCUUCUGCAUAAUUGAACUCGUUUUAGGAAAUGUUGAUCUUACUUCCACAGUUGCCAUUCUUAUCACUAUAUAUGUUACGCCGGUACGAUACGGUUUUGAAACCAUUGCUUCUGAUUAGAGAAUUGAAGUAUUAUAUGGCGUCUAAUUCUUGCUUAGGGUUCUUAAUUACUCUCUUAAUCAUGUUUCUGGUAUGCCUAAUUUCCCUUCUACUGAUCAUGUUUAGUCUUAAUAAUUACUCUGUAUCUAUAUAUAUAUAUUCAUAAUUAACAGCCCUUUAACUAACUGAUCAUGCAGCUGGGUAUGAUCUAUCCCACAAAUGCCAGGACAUUAGGAAUUGCUGCAAGCGAGUCCUACUGGAGAGAUGUCAUGAAAGGUCAACCUUUGCCGGAAUCACUCAAAUCCCUCGUCGUUGCUGAGGUGGCGGUGGCAAACAAUGAUCGGGAAGGAAAGGGGUGUGAAGCCGAGGAGAUUGUGUUGAAGGUCGACGAUCUUUCAUCUGACAAAUUCAAUAUUGAUAUCGAGCCACAACCUCAAGGCCGUGACGUGGUUAGUACUAAUAAGUUGAUCACAACAAAUAUUGAGUCACAACCUAAAAUUUCAAGUUAUGUCGAAAAGAUGACUAGGAAAUUCGCAAAAGAUAUUGAGCCGCAACCUCAAGCCACAGAUUACCGCGAGGGCGUCAAGCCAACUAAGUUUACAAAAGAGACUAAGUCGCAACUUCAAUUUUCGGGUUUUGACGGAAAUAGCAAGAAGUUUACCGAAGAUAUCGAGCCUCAACAUCAACUUACGAAUUAUCGCAACGACAUCCAUCCAAAUGAGUUUACAAAAAGUAUCAAGCCGGAAUUUCAAGUCACGGUUCAUGGCAAUGGCAAUAAGUUUACAAAUGAUAUUGGGUCGGAACCUCAAGUUUCGGAUUACCGCAACGUGAUCAACCCAAACAAAUUCCCAAAGGGUACAAUCGAGCCACAACCUCAAAUCAUAACUUAUGGCAACGGUAAAAAAUUUACAAACGAUAUCAAGCCGCACCCUCAAGUUACAGAUUACCGCAACCACAUCAAACCAAACAAGUUCACAAAGGGUAUUGAGCCACAACCUCAAGUUACAGACUACCGCAACGUCGUCGAACCAAACAAGUUCACAAAGAGUAUCAAGCCACAACCUCAAGCGACAAGUUAUGGCAAUAUCAAAAUCUUCACAACAGAUAUCGAGCCGCAACCUCAAGUUUCAAAUUACCGCAACGAGAUCCGUCGGAGCAAGUUGGUGAUGGAAUCUUGAAGUCGAUGUGGUUUAGUUCACUUUUUACCUAUGGUCUUUUGUCGGUUGGAGUGUAAGAAAAAUAAGGUCAAGUAAUUUCAUCCUGAUUAUGUACUUGUAAUGCUAUUUUAGAAAGCAAUUAUAGCUUUCUACUCUAUUUGUACAACUUUUUUAAAUACGACAAUAAAACGCUCUUAGUUAUUAUUCAGAAUACAAGUAAACUUAAAAAAAGAGACGUCAAUCAAA